UGGUGAAAAGGUUGCAGCAGCCUUCUGCAUUCCAUUGUUUUCCUUUCUUUUUCUUGUAGGUCAAAUUACCUUCCCUGCACUGUCAUCCCACACCUAAAAAAAGAACGCUAUGUUUCCUCAGCUUGAGAAAGUGUCUCGUGAUCCAGUCAUUCAUCGCUGCCUGGAGUUCUCGAGUACUUUCAUACUCUCUACUGUAUUUCCUGCAAAAUUGUCCUGAAUCUCUGCAGAUGAGAUCCACUUCAUUCCCAGUAUUCCAGUUCACUCCUGGCCUCGUCACAGGGCAGAGAGGAGAGGAGACCCAGAGAAAGACUGCCCAGAUUUGAGUCAUAGUGCUAUCAUUUACUAGCUACAGGACCUUGGGCAAGUAGCCAACCUCACAAAGCCUUUGUUUCUUCAUAUGAGAAUUAAAAUCACAGUAGCAUCUAUCUCCUAGGUUGGUGAUGAAAACUGAAAUAAUCCUGAGACACUAAAAGUCCCCAGUCAAUGGUAGUUUUAUUGUAAGAAAGAGAAAAGCAAUCUCCCAACAUCUAGAACUGGGCUGACCCAGCAUAGUCUUGAUGCUCUCCUGUUGAAGCAAACAUUUUCAUGAAACAUUGCCAUUAACAAGGCCACUCUGUGGUAAUAAAGAUUAAGAAAG
rnacentral:lncRNA from 1 species